UACAUGGGGUGCAAACGUUGCUCGGAAUUAUUGGGCGUAAAGCGCACGUAGGCGGUUCGUUAAGUCGGAUGUGAAAGCCCUCGGCUCAACUGAGGAAGUGCACCCGAAACUGGCGAGCUUGAGUACGAAAGAGGAUCGCGGAAUUCCCGGUGUAGAGGUGAAAUUCGUAGAUAUCGGGAGGAACACCGGUGGCGAAGGCGGUUCUCUGGGCAUGUCCUGGACGCUGAGGAGCGAAAGUGGUGGGGAGCGAACAGG
rnacentral:rRNA from 1 species